rnacentral:rRNA from 1 species
UGACCUCGGAUCAGGUAGGGAUACCCGCUGAACUUAAGCAUAUCAAUAAGCGGAGGAAAAGAAACCAACCGGGAUUGCCUCAGUAACGGCGAGUGAAGCGGCAAGAGCUCAAAUUUGAAAGCUGGCUCCUUCGGGGUCCGCAUUGUAAUUUGCAGAGGAUGCUUCGGAUACGGCCCCUGUCUAAGUGCCCUGGAACGGGCCGUCGGAGAGGGUGAGAAUCCCGUCUGGGAUGGGGUGUCCGUGUCCGUGUGAAGCUCCUUCGACGAGUCGAGUUGUUUGGGAAUGCAGCUCUAAAUGGGUGGUAAAUUUCAUCUAAAGCUAAAUACUGGCCGGAGACCGAUAGCGCACAAGUAGAGUGAUCGAAAGAUGAAAAGCACUUUGAAAAGAGAGUUAAAAAGCACGUGAAAUUGUUGAAAGGGAAGCGCUUGCGACCAGACUCGCCCUCGGGGUUCAGCCGGCAUUCGUGCCGGUGUACUUCCCCGGGGGCGGGCCAGCGUCGGUUUGGGCGGCCGGUCAAAGGCUCCCGGAAUGUAGUACCCUCCGGGGUACCUUAUAGCCGGGAGUGCAAUGCGGCCAGCCUGGACCGAGGAACGCGCUUCGGCACGGACGCUGGCAUAAUGGUCGCAAACGACC